rnacentral:rRNA from 1 species
UCAGGGUAUCACCCAGAUCAUACAGAUCUUUUCCGAUUACAGAAGCUAAGCAAAGCCAGGCCCGGUCAGUAUUGGGAUGGGUGACCAGCAGGGAAUACCAGGGAUGUCUAGAU